CUGUACAAUACCUCUCCCUUUCACUUCACUCUAAGUACUCUUAACAAUAUCUUGAAAUAUAGUUUCUGGUUUUGUUUCCAGUCAAGUCAUAUUAUUGAGGACUGCAGGGUGGGAGAUGUAACAAUGGCAUUGAGAACAGCAGGAAGUGUGUUGGUGGUCUUUCUCUGGUCUGUAGCAGUGGUACUGGGUCAGGAUGGCUGGAGUGUGACAUACACCACUCAGAGUAUCUGUACCUUGAAGGGGUCAUCAGUGGAUCUGUUCUGUUCAUAACAGAUCAGACUGGAGGGAAUUAUGCUGGUGAUCCUGGAGUUACUCUGUCUGUUACAGACCUGCAGGUGAAGGUGACCACUACAUGGAGGUCAAUGACACUGACCUGUAGCACCACCUGUACUCUGACUGGUAACCCCACCUACACCUGGUACAGGAACAGUAAGAUUGUACAAGAGGACUCCUCCCCCUCAUACACAGUCUACUUUAAAACUGAAGACAGCUUCUACUGUGCUGUAAAAGGCAUCAAUUCUCCUGCAGUGUAUGGCCCAAAGAACACCUCAGUGUCAGUCAGUCCCUCUGGUGAAAUAGUGGAGGGCAGUUCAGUGACUCUGACCUGCAGCAGUGAUGCCAACCCACCUGUGGACAAAUACACCUGGUACAAGAAGAAAGUAACCUCAGCAUAAGCAUCAGGACAGAGUUACAGCAUCACUAACAUCAUCUCUGAGGACAGAGGAGAAUAUUACUGUGAGGCUGAAAAUAAAUAUGGACGUCUCAACUCUUCUUCUGUGUCUGUGGACGUUCAGUAGCUGCCCUGACUGUUGGAGCUCUUCUAGUCACCAUCUACUGCUAUAUUAAGAGGAGACACACAGGAGGAAGUGAUGCCACAUCAGACACACAGAUCCUGGAAAAAAAAAAAGUCAUUUUAAUCCAUAGAGACGUGAAGGAGAAGCACGUCGGAUGUUGAUCUCUUCUCGGCUGGGUCCUCAUUUGGGACCAAAGUUCCUUGUUGUUAAGAGACUCUUUCUGCUCUUGCAGACGCUAACUACAGAGGCCAACAGUGACAUGUACACAGCUCUGAACAUGAAAACCAGGCCACCAGAGUAUGACACCCUGGCAAAUGUGAGGGGACUCCCCAGUGACACAGCCCCUCAAAUAGAUCCUUAGCUCUCCAUUUAUGAGAAAUGAAGAGAACCACCACAGAACCUAGACUGAAGAGAAGCACCACAGAACCUGGACUGAAGAGAAGCACCACAGAACCUAGACUGAAGAGAACCACCACAGAACCUAGACUGAAGAGAACCACCACAGAACCUGGACUGAAGAGAACCAUCACAGAACCUGGACUGAAGAGAACCACCACAGAACCUGGACUGAAGAGCAACAGCAUCAAACCAAAGCUAGGCCUCACAAUGUUAUUCUCUUACUAUCAUUAUGCUUUCUAAUCCAGAAGGUUUGAGACAAUGAGCUUUAACUUUUGAGUAAAUGCUGGAAUUUAGAUUAUUCUCCUAAUGAUAAAUACAGUAUGUGCACUAUCGUUCAAAAGUUUGGGGUCACUUAAAAUGUCCUUGCAUUUUUUUUUGGCCAUUAAAAUAUAAUCAAAUUGAUCAGAAAUGCAGUGUAGACAUUGUUAAUGUUUUAAAUGACUAUUGUAGCUGAAAAUGGCAGAUUUUUUGGUGGAAUAUCUACACAGGCGUACAGAGGCCCAUUAUCAGCAACUAUCACUCCUGUGUUCCAAUGGCACACUGUGUUAGCUAAUCCAAGUUUAUCAUUUUAAAAGGCUAAUUGAUCAUUUGAAAAUCAUAAUGCAAUUAAAUUAGCACAGCUGAAAAUGGUUGUGCUUGCUGAUUUAAAGAGGCAAUAAAACGGGCCUUCUUUAGAUUAGUUGAGUAUCUGGAGCAUCAGCAUUUGUGGGUUCGAUUACAGGCUCAAUGUUGCAAUUUAUCUAUUUCCAGUUUUCAACUUAUCUGUUUUCUAUCUAUUGAUUGUAUUGCUUAUCUUUUUUAUGGGAUUUUGCCAAUUCCAGAUUUUUUAUAACAUAUAAAGUUAUGGCUUGUCUUAGUGACACAAAAAUGAAUUAUAUUGACAAGAGAUUUUAAAUAUUUGUAUCUCUGGAGUUGUUCCUGAUAUGUUAAAAUAUAUUUUACUUUGUAUUGCUGUCAGUCAUUACUGGUCAUUUUAUAUUUUAUAUUAUGUAAUACCAUAUUGUUCAGUGUCAUGAUAUUCCUUGUUUUAUUAUCACAUAAUUAAUAAUGACAUAUUUUAGAUACAUUGAAUACAGUAUAAGCAUUAUGUUGUAAAUAAGCUCAAAUGUAAACAAUAAAAAGACAAAUAAAUUGAAUAUUUUGUUAAUUUA